AUUCCGAGCAGAUCCAGGAAGGGACCUUCGCAGGCAAAAUCUGAUGGCCUGAGUGCGGCUUCUCGGAAGGGUCAGCGUCCUGACCCCCAUCCUCGCGUCUCCCGGAGACACAGCCCCGGCUAUCCACUCCCCGGCAUCGACCCCCAGCCCAGGUUCCUGUUUGACUAUGGACGACGCUUGCCCGCUGGAGUGCCCCUGGCUCUCUGUCCCCACACCGAGUCCGCCCUCUGUCUCCGCCCUCAGGGUCCUCUUCCCCUCUUGCCUGGACACCUCCCCAGCCUCCUUUGGAACUUUCAUUCCCAAGUUCUGGGGGGUUCUGUGUGCUCCCCAGUGCUGACCCCAACCCUCCCUCUCCAGCUCUCACCCCAGCUGGACCCUCUCCCAGCUUUUCACUCCAUCACUCCCCUGCCCAACUCCAAGUCCCUCCAAGUACAGCUCAUCCUAAUCCUGUGAGCCCCUCCCCCCAGUCUUCUACAUGCCUGGCCCUGUCCUUUCAGCACUGUCCCCAGCCAGAGUAGUCUCUUCCGUGGUUCUCCACACACAUGUGUCACGUCACUUUUUCCAGAAUGCUCCUCUAGGAUGUUCCAAGCUCCUGUUUGGAUAACUCUUUGCUCCUGCCCCAUCAGGCACUGGGCCUGCCUUCAGCCAAGGUCAGAGGUGGCAACGCUGAGAUUCAUUGAUUCCAAAUGCCUCUUGAAAUGUCACCUCUCCAAUCGCUCCACCCCCUGGCCAGCCGCCGCCCCCAGCCAAGGCUGAAGAGUGACCCUUAUCACAAGCACAGAGCCCUAGGAUUCUAGCCUGGCCUGAGUCCUGGGCAGGGAGAGGAUUGUUUUCCAGUUUCUCCCUGAAGCCUCUUGGGACAGCCUGGACCCAGACUCUGCCAGAAGUAGUCUCAAGAGGCCUGUUCAGUCCUGGGGUUCAAAGGUGACUAUUACUAAUCACAACAACUUUUAGGGUGACCCUGAACAAGUCUCUUGACCUGCAUGCACCUCAGUUUCCCCAGCUGUAAACCAAGAUGGUGCAGAGUCCCAUUACCAGGAGGAUGUGGGAUGAUUGGAGGGGCUGAGUGGACUGCCUCCAUUCCCUCCUCCCACUCUCCUUGAUGAC
rnacentral:lncRNA from 12 species